rnacentral:rRNA from 1 species
UGAGGAAUAUUGGUCAAUGGGCGCGAGCCUGAACCAGCCAAGUCGCGUGAAGGAUGAAGGUUCUAUGGAUUGUAAACUUCUUUUGUCAGGGAACAAAGAGCUCACGAGUGAGCAGAUGAGUGUACCUGAAGAAAAAGCAUCGGCUAACUCCGUGCCAGCAGCCGCGGUAAUACGGAGGAUGCGAGCGUUAUCCGGAUUUAUUGGGUUUAAAGGGUGCGUAGGCCGCACGUCAAGUCAGCGGUAAAAUUUCGGGGCUUAACCCCGACGAGCCGUUGAAACUGGCGAGCUAGAGUGGAGAUGAGGUAUGCGGAAUGCGUGGUGUAGCGGUGAAAUGCAUAGAUAUCACGCAGAACUCCGAUUGCGAAGGCAGCGUACCAAUCUCUUACAGACGCUGAGGCAC